AACAACACAAAACCAGAAAUCACACACCAUUACAAAUGUAGUUGGUGGAUACCUAUACUGAAAUGUGAUAGAACAUUUUAGUUACUUGUAACUUUCUUUUCAACUUCUUUGGAGAAAUGGUUAGCAGAAAAAUGUUGUUAAUGAUCCAUGCUUAAAUAAGCUUUUCUAUAUAUUAAUGAAACCAAAACUGCUCUGUGAGGAAUACAAUAGCAUUAUAAGAAAAUUAGAUCUGUAACAUUUCUGAGGUUAUCAGUUUAUAUUCAGGAUAACAGAAUACACCUAGACAAUAAAUACUCAUGGAAUAGUUGUAUCAAGUUGUAUCAAGUGUGAAUCAUAUAAUUGCUAGUCCUGUGCACAGUACACAAGAUCCUUUUUGCAAUCCUAGGGCUUCUGCUGCACAUUUAGGGAUGACUAAGAAAAACAGACUGAAGUGUGCACCUUUGCAUGAGCCAAAAUCAGUUAGUUUGACAAAUAUCACCACAAUGCUCUUCAGCUCCUCGAUUCAGAUUUUCUGUGUGUUCACACUGAAAGAUGGUGACUGCUUCUAAGUGCUACUUCUGCUUUCUGAUUGCUUUGCACUAGAUAAUUUUUUAACAAAAUAUUCAUCUUUUGAGUUCUUUAUUAUACCAAUGCAUCACUGUGCUCCAGAUUUUAUAGUAGGUAACUCUCACCAUGGCAGUCAGCAAAAAAAAUGUUUUUCUUUGUAAGCUUUACCUUUCAGUGUCUAGAAGAAAGAGUUACUUGCAGCCCAUAUUUGUUGGCAUUUCUGGAUCAACAGUUGCUCGUACAAUAUGUGUAGAAUAUGUAUACAUAAACAAUAUGUAUAUACAAUACAAGAGUAUUACAUGCUCAUUUAGCAUUUCCUGGUCUCCACUGUAAUGAUCCCUCUCUUUAGUACUUUCUUCAGAGGUAAUAUCACCAUCUUAAUUUAUAAUGAAUAAAAAGACUGAAUCAUAGAUUAUUUUUGGAUGUUUCAUGAAAGAUGUACAUCAAAAACCCACUUCUUAAAAAGGUUAUCUCAAUAUUAUUCUCCACUACUGAUAAGUAUGUGAGAUUUCUCACAUUAAUCAUCCAGUAACACGUGUUCAGUAUCAAUUUCCACUUAAAUUAGUCACUAUUAGUCUAGUGGGUGAUUUGCUUUGUAGAAAAUGACAAGUCUGAGUAAUUAGCUUAAUUUAUGUUAUGCGACAUGCACAGUGGGGUUUUUUUAUCUGUGAUUAUGUCAUCUGAAGUGAUGCUACUGUAAGGAAUGAUCUAUGUGCUAUUUUGUACAUAAAAUAACUUAUGGAAGUAACGGUAUGUAGUUUCAAAAAUACACUAUUUAGGCUAAUGCUUAAACGUUUUGUAUAGCACAGCUACUAUAUUAAAUUACUGAAAGUUAAAAUAAACAAUCUUUUUCCUCACUGCACUGCUUUGAAGCAAUCAAUAAACUAGUGAAUGUCACUGAUGUAAGGUUAACAAUUUGAUUUAAGUUACUUGUCAUAUAAUUAGUAUAAAUAUUUUUGUAUAUACAUUAGCAACUAAGCUCAGAAAAUGUGCAAGCAAGCAACUUGCUCUGAAUCAGCAAAUUUUUUUGGCACAUCCUACCAAUUUUAUUAUAUAUGUAUCAUCAUGAAUGAAACUGUUAGUUUUCUAAAAUCAAAUCCAUAUUUCUGAGGAUGGCUGUUUCUUUACAGAAGACUUCCAAUGCCACUCCCUUAGCAAGUCAAAUGAGAAGUGUCUUCACAAGAAAAUACAGACUUGUAGUAAUAUUUAAAACAUGAUGAGUUGUGUCCUGUGUAGAGCCAGGAAUUGGAUGAUCCUGGUUGGUGACCUCCAACUGAGCAUAUUCUAUGAUUCUAUGAACCUCUUACCAUGCCAAAGCCUUUUUUCAUGCACAAACCUGCACUCGGAGAUAACCAAAGGGCUCCAAAUCAAGGGCAUUUCUUAAGACUUUCUGUCUGAAAUUCAGAUGUCAACAAAUUGACCAGAAAAGGAUGCCUUCUGAAAGGCACAGCCUGCUCCAGGGGGAGAGGGAGAGAGCACUUACCCAGAGACUGCCCUGUGGAUGUGAGGCAGAAGCUGCUGGGGCUAAGGGAAGUCCUCAGUGUUUUUCCCUCCCUCAAAAUCAUGCAAAUUAAUGAAGGAUGAGGGUUUGUUUACUUUUAAUACUCACUUUUUCCCUUCCCACUUCAUAUGUUUACAUUAAUUUUAGGCUAAUUAACAUUAACCUCACAAAUUAUUAAUAAAGGGCAAGGUGUUAUGAAAUCAGUGUCCCCUUUGCAGAACAAACUUUUCCCUCUCAUGGAAAAACCUGAUCAAUGAUGAAAUGUCAUUUUCUGAUUUCUUGGCACUAAACCAUUUUACCUUUUAUAUCAAUCCUGCAAAGCUUUAUUUUUCGCAGGCCAAAAUACUGUUUGGUAUUAAACUGAGCAAUAGUCUUGGGACACUCAGCUGAAAUGCCACCUUGACUCUGAGGAAACAAACAUAGCAAAAAACUCAGAGCUUUGUGCUUCACAGAUUCAAACCUGAUAUUUGUAAGAAAAUUCUCUAGUCUUACUUCCAUAUGUUUAUUUUAUGUGAUGUGAAAUAAUCAAAACAAGAAAAAACUGCAAUUUUAAAACCCAUCUACUGACACAUUUUCAGAGAAUUAAAUCCCCACCACCACUAUUUGAGAGAGUCAUUCAUUCCUCCUCGUAUCCAGUAACUACUGUAAUUGGUUAAGCACAGCAUGGCAGAUACAUUCACACAUUUUAGCUGAAAAAUGUAAAUUUGUUGACUACAGUUUAUAUUUAGCAUUUUAAUAGUCAUAUUUUCUAUAAUCUGCUGAGACUCAUGUUGUGCAACAGAAUAUACUAUGCAAAUCAUCUUCAGGGAAAAUACAUGUUAUAGAGGUAUAACUACUGUAAAAGGAAUUUUAAAUGCCUUCCUAUUCUCUUGGCACCCAUUUCUUAAAAACAUCUGAAAUAUUCCUGGUUAUUUUCUGUAGAUAUACAGAAAACACAAAGGUAUUUUAAUUUUGUUGCCCAUACAUGAUACAAUAUACUACUCUUUUUUGUAUGAUAGUAUAUGAAAAAAAAAGUCCAUAGCUGAAAAAUACUUUUUUCUGGUAAUCCCUCUGAAAAAAAAAUCAAAGGCCUUUUUCAGUUAUUUUCUCAAUCAGUUCUGGGCUGAAAUUUUGCCUUCAAAACAACAGCAGGAUGAGGCACGAUAGUCUUUUAAUUAGAGCUAUUUAGUCUAAUUUCCCCCUUCCCCCCCUAAAUCUUGAACAUCAUUCAUUUUAGACAAAAUCUUAACUUUUUAAAUUAAAUACUAUUUCUUUCCAAAGAUCUGAUACCAUAACUAGUAGGCUAAUUUUCUAUUUUAACAGGUUGAGAUAGGAACAGCUGUUAAAUCAGAAUUCCCUUGAAAAACACCAUCAAAGCAUUUUAAAUGUCAGAGGCAAAAAAUUAUAAUCAUUACACAUGUAAGAAUAUGACUUAUCAAAUUAGAAGCAUGAUUUAUUUUGUUCAGGAGUGGUGGAGUGCAAUAAUUAUUCAGUGUUUGGAAUCUUAUCCAUGACCUGCUUAAUAUAUUAAAAUAUAUUGCUUUU